rnacentral:misc_RNA from 1 species
UGUGGCAGCACCGCAAAUUUGUGGAGGUGAAGGUCUUCACAGUUGAAGAAACCACUCAUGGGUCAGCUUUUCUGGAUUUUCUGAGUCCUAUAAUGGUACCUUCAAAUUGACAAGACACACAGGUCUCUCUGCGAAGAAUGUGUCUUCUGCAUUCUUCAAUGGCGAGUUGGAGAACAAAAUGCGAGAACAUGGCCAUCUGGACAUGU